rnacentral:lncRNA from 13 species
UUUUGUUUGUCUCAGGCUUUUCUGUUGAAGACCUUGAUUUAAGUCUUAAAAGCACUGAUUUUCUUUCUUUCUUUUUUUUUUUAAACCAGAAAGUUCUUUAGGUUGAGAGGGCUGUCCUUGGUGUAGCCUGCUGAGGGGUCUCAAUGGAACCUUCUGUGAUCACUAGCCACCUUGGGGAGCUCCUGGGUGAUGGCGCCAGCCAAGGACAUUUGGGGAAAUGGUUUAUAGGUACCUGGUGCCAGGUUCAGCACCAGCUCAGAGACUUAUUUGGGACCUUCUGGAGUCACCUUCAUGGGCUACCAGCCCCAACCCCAGAGACUGACUCAACCAGCCCAGAUGCUUUCCAGACACAAACCCUAACUUUCUUCUGUGAUUUAAGAAUGGCUGGGGGAAAAAAAUCAACCCAUAUAAAAAUAUUUUAUUGUGGAAAACAAGAGUUCCCUGCCCUGGCCACCCCACUCCAGGCUAGCUUCACAGAAAUCACUGUUGUAAGUGAAAUCUUGUAACUAUUUCUGCUUUUAGUUCUAAUGGCAAUCCACCCCAGGUUGCUAAGUAAUGUAUGUAUACCGCUUCAAAAAUACUCAUUUUUGGCAUUAUCGGUAGAGUUCUGCCAUGAGAAGUGAAGGUUGGUUUCCUCCUCCCUCCUGCUAAUACAGCACUGAGGCUGUCACUGUUUUGGUCUCUUAGCGGGCUGUUUUAUCAGUUUAAAUAAUAAGCCUUUAUUUGAAGUUUCUUAAACAGUGUCUCUUAGACCCUCAGGUUGAAAGAGAAUAAUGAUCGUGCCCCUGGCUCCCCACUGUCUUCACCCCAGGGUGCAGGCUGACUGGGGCCCCAGGUCAGCACUCCCUGGUCCCCUCUGUAGAAACCAGACAUUUCCCCUCACCUAAAGAAGCCAAUUUAGUGCCAAUCACAUACUGAACUACUGAUCUUCAGAGCCCCUGGACUUUGGCGUUUGGAAAGACCUGGAAUAUGCCUCUUUAGCAGAUGACUGUGAUACAGGUGGUCUGAGAAUGUGCUGUGAACCCUAUAAAACAGGGGACAUGAGAUGGUGGGUCUGGUCUGUGCAGUGGCAGCGUGAACACAGAAAGCUGAAAUGGAGGAACAGUUUUGCAGCCAAGAGACAUUACAGCUCAAAGGUAUCAGCGGAGGCUAGAAUUCAUCCCUUCAACAAAUAUUGACUGAGCAAGCUCUUACUGUGUGUAAUGCCUUUUUUAGUAUAGUUUUUGCACCCUCCCAGCCCUUUUCAGGUGCUUUGACAGAUUUCUAACUCCAGGGGUAUUUAUUCAGUGUAUUGUUUCAAGAAAAGGAAGGUCUUUGCAAACAGGUGCAACGUGCCGCAGCCUGCCCAGGCAGAGGCUUGCGAGCAUGUCUGGUAAAGAAGCAAAAAUCGGGGGGACAUUUGUUUCUUUCUGAUUUUCAUGUAGAGAUGGGGAACAAAUAGAGUUAGUGCCAUUCUAAGUUCUUUGUGUUUGUUUGGUUAAAAUAGGCUCAAUUCCUUCCCUCCCU